rnacentral:rRNA from 1 species
AGAGUUUGAUCCUGGCUCAGAGCGAACGCUGGCGGCAGGCUUAACACAUGCAAGUCGAGCGGGCGUAGCAAUACGUCAGCGGCAGACGGGUGAGUAACGCGUGGGAACGUACCUUUUGGUUCGGAACAACCCAGGGAAACUUGGGCUAAUACCGGAUAAGCCCUUACGGGGAAAGAUUUAUCGCCGAAAGAUCGGCCCGCGUCUGAUUAGCUAGUUGGUGAGGUAAUGGCUCACCAAGGCGACGAUCAGUAGCUGGUCUGAGAGGAUGAUCAGCCACAUUGGGACUGAGACACGGCCCAAACUCCUACGGGAGGCAGCAGUGGGGAAUAUUGGACAAUGGGCGCAAGCCUGAUCCAGCCAUGCCGCGUGAGUGAUGAAGGCCCUAGGGUUGUAAAGCUCUUUUGUGCGGGAAGAUAAUGACGGUACCGCAAGAAUAAGCCCCGGCUAACUUCGUGCCAGCAGCCGCGGUAAUACGAAGGGGGCUAGCGUUGCUCGGAAUCACUGGGCGUAAAGGGUGCGUAGGCGGGUCUUUAAGUCAGGGGUGAAAUCCUGGAGCUCAACUCCAGAACUGCCUUUGAUACUGAAGAUCUUGAGUUCGGGAGAGGUGAGUGGAACUGCGAGUGUAGAGGCGAAAUUCGUAGAUAUUCGCAAGAACACCAGUGGCGAAGGCGGCUCACUGGCCCGAUACUGACGCUGAGGCACGAAAGCGUGGGGAGCAAACAGGAUUAGAUACCCUAGUAGUCC